GACGAACGCUGGCGGCGUGCUUAACACAUGCAAGUCGAACGGAAAGGCCCUGCGCUUGUUGGGUGCUUGUUAGGCGAGGGGGGGUGUAACACGCGAGUAACCCGCCCUUGACUGUGGGAUAAAUUUUGGAAACUCGGGCGAAUACCCGAGAUGAGCUUCUGCUCCACGGUGUGCGAUGGAAAGUUCCGGUGGUGGGGGCUGGUCUCGCGGCUUAUGCGCUGCUUGGGGAGGUAGUGGCUUACCAAGGUUGUGACGGGUAGCCGACAUGAGAGGGUGACGGGCCACAUUAGGACUGAGAUACGGCCCAGACGCCAACGGGACGCAGCGGUGGGAAGUAUUACACAGUGGGCGGACGCCAGAGGCGGCGACGCCGCGUGCGGGAUGACGGCUUUCGGGUUGUAAACCGCUUUCGCCUGUGACGAAGCGUGAGUGACGGUAAUGGGUAAGAAAGCACCGGCUAACUACGUG
rnacentral:rRNA from 1 species